GGGUUAAGUCCCGCAACGAGCGCAACCCCUAUUCUCUGUUGCCCCGCAAGGGGGAUCUCUGAGGAAACUGCCGGCGAUGAGCCGGAGGAAGUGGGGAUGACGUCAAGUCAUCAUGGCCCUUACGUCCAGGGCGACACACGUGCUACAAUGGCAGCUACAGAGGGCAGCAAGACCGCGAGGUGGAGCCAAUCCCUAAAAGCUGUCUCAGUUGGGAUCGGAGUCUGCAACUCGACUCCGUGAACGCGGAAUCGCUAGUAAUCGUGGAUCAGCCAUGCCACGGUGAAUACGUUCCCGGGCCUU
rnacentral:rRNA from 1 species